GUUUGAUCCUGGCUCAGAGCGAACGCUAGCGGCGGGCCUAACACAUGCAAGUCGAGCGGAGAACUUCGGUUCUUAGCGGCGGACGGGGUGAGUAACACGUAGGUGACGUAUCCUUGGGUGGGGAACAACCGUGGGAAACCAUGGCUAAUACCGCAUAUGUCUUUCGAGAUGAAAGCAGCAAUGCGCCCGGGGAGCGGCCUGCGGCCGAUUAAUUAUUCCUAGUUGGUGAGGUAAUGGCUCACCAAGGGUACGAUCGGUAGCUGGUCUGAGAGGAUGAUCAGCCACACUGGAACUGAGACACGGUCCAGACUCCUACGGGAGGCAGCAGUGGGGAAUAUUGCGCAAUGGGCGAAAGCCUGACGCAGCCACGCCGCGUGAAGGAUGACGGUCUUCGGAUUGUAAACUUCUGUCGGGAGGGAAGAAGGGGCAACCCUGACGGUACCUCGCAAGAAAGCACCGGCUAACUCUGUGCCAGCAGCCGCGGUAAUACAGAGGGUGCAAGCGUUGCUCGGAAUUACG
rnacentral:rRNA from 1 species